UGAGGAAUUUUGCGCAAUGGGGGAAACCCUGACGCAGCGACGCCGCGUGGAGGAUGAAGGCCUUCGGGUCGUAAACUCCUGUCAGAGGUGAAGAAUACCCGCAAGGGUUUGACGGUAACCUCAGAGGAAGCCCCGGCUAACUACGUGCCAGCAGCCGCGGUAAUACGUAGGGGGCAAACGUUACUCGGAAUUACUGGGCGUAAAGGGUGCGUAGGCGGCUGGGAAAGUCAAGGAUGAAAUCCCGUGGCUCAACUGCGGAACGGUCCUUGAAACUACUCGGCUUGAGGAUAACCGAAGAGAACGGAAUUCCCGGUGGAGCGGUGAAAUGCGUAGAUAUCGGGAGGAACACCUGAGGCGAAAGCGGUUCUCUAGACUACUCCUGACGCUGAGGCACGAAAGC
rnacentral:rRNA from 1 species